UACAGAGGGUGCGAACGUUGUUCGGAAUCACUGGGCAUAAAGCGCACGUAGGCGGCACCGCAAGUGUGGGGUGAAAUCCCACGGCUUACCCGUGGAACUGCCUGGCAGACUGCGGUGCUAGAGGUUGGUAGGGGAGAGCGGAACUCUUGGUGGAGCGGUGAAAUGCGUAGAUAUCAAGAGGAACACCGGUGGCGAAGGCGGCCUUCUGGUCGGAUACUGACGCUAAAACGCGAAAGCGUGGGGAGCAAACAGG
rnacentral:rRNA from 1 species